UACGUAGGGGGCAAGCGUUGUCCGGAAUCAUUGGGCGUAAAGAGCGCGUAGGCGGUCAUUCAAGUCUGGUGUGAAAACCCAGGGCUUAACCUUGGGCCUGCACUGGAAACUGGAUGACUUGAGUUCGGUAGAGGAAACUGGAAUUCCUGGUGUAGCGGUGAAAUGCGCAGAUAUCAGGAAGAACACCGGUGGCGAAGGCGGGUUUCUGGGCCGCAACUGACGCUGAGGCGCGAAAGCUAGGGGAGCAAACAGG
rnacentral:rRNA from 1 species